rnacentral:SRP_RNA from 1 species
UGGAUACCCAAGUGAGCUUGCUUGCUUAUCCGCCACUCGAUGAUGGAGGCUCGCCAGUCUUAGGCUAUUUGAUCG